UUUUUUGGAAAAUGCUUUGUGCAUCUACCAUUUUUCAUGCAUGGAGAAGAUUUUCUAACAGUACCACAAGGACCAUGCAUCAUGAAAUUUGUAAUAAGAAGGAUCUACUUUUUUAUCUGGUAAUUCUGCUGAAAUUAUUCCAUCAAUAUCUCCGACAUUUGGGUAUUUAUUCACAAGAAAAAGCAAGAUGUGUGCAUGAGGCAAGCCUCGCUUUUGGAAUUCAACUGUAUAAAUCACUGAAGAAUGAAGAUGUAAUUAGAUCAUUAAGCUUAUGUAAGUUAUUUUUAAUAUUAGCAUAUGAUAACGUUAAUGUGCAAACAUAAUAAUUCUGUAAAACAUUAAAAUUAUAUCUGCUUUUACUUCUCCAAAAAUUUUGUUGUCGCGUAGAUCCUUUAUCAUGUGAUCCUGCUUGAUUUUGAAAACCCUUGUUAAAAUGUCGGGACGAUCUUCUGGAGAUAAUUCCCUACUCUUCACAAAUCGAGUAAUCUCUGGCCAUUUUGGGUUGCAAGUAAAGGUAAUGAACAGAUCAUGAUACUCCGCCCAUUUGCAAAUUGUCAUGGCAUCUUGAUAAUUCUGCAACAUGUAACGUGCACCUCCCGUAAAGCUGGAAGUGAGUAUGACUCCUUGUCCUUGAGAAGAAGGUUCUAUAUCCCCAUGUAAAACGGCAUAUUGUAACCCUUUAUAAAAAUGUGCUCUCAAUUGUUUUUGAUGAAGCCUAAUAAACCUUAAUCAAGAAGAUUCUGUCAUUGUAUAACCAUCUACAAAGAAUUGCUGAUCUUCUAUCUGACACAAUUGUUGGAUCUUCAUCCUUCCUUUCUUGAAUUUUAUAUGAUA
rnacentral:lncRNA from 1 species